AGCCUGGUGAGGUGAUGUGGCCUGCCGUGAGUGGAUGGGGGCUGAGAGUAUAUAAGAGUGAGAGGCCUGGGGUUCGAGGGAGAAAAAGAUGAAGCGAGAGAGAUGAAGACUGAAGCUUGCUGAAUAAACUGCUGUCAGAAGAACUGGUGGUCGUGUCGUUCUUGCUGAUUGAGAGCGGACGCGACAAGGGCCUUCCCACCUAAGGUUCACUGUGAACAAUCAAGAGCUUCUGAAAGAGAAAAUCUUUCUGGAGAGAAGGCCUUGAGCCCAAGAGCUGUCAAAGACAGUGACACCUGUGAAGAGAUCUUUUCUGUACCCACUGACCACAUGGAAAGAUGUGGAAACCAAGGAGCUAGCUUCCCUGAUGUGCUAUUUCUACCAAUCUACACUGGGACAUCAUUGUUAAAAGGCAGGCCCUCUGCAAAACACGCCAGCACUGAGCAGCACAACGCUAAUCAGGUGGUCAAAAUCACAUCCAGAAACACCCAACAUCUGCUUCCCAUCAUGAGAAGGCUGUGUGCCAACUGCAACUCAGUCAACAUGUUGUAUUGGCAAUGGUUUCUGCUAUACACAGGCCAAACUUGAGGACUAAGACUUACAAGAACUCGGAGGCAAUUUGCAUGUUUUGGACUGCCAGGUUUAUCUUCCAUCAAGCUCUUCAGGAUUUUCUCAGUUUAAGAAAUACCUUGCUGUCAUCAGUUAAAUUGAGGUUCUGGUCGGGAGAAAAUCUCCAGCUCAUGAUCGGUGGGCUCAAAUUUCACAUGUAUAUGAAGCCUUCAGUAAAUAAAUG
rnacentral:lncRNA from 1 species